rnacentral:tRNA from 1 species
UGAAUAUCUAAAUUUAAGUAUAUCAUUUACAAUGAUAAGAUGUUUUAUUAAACUUUAUUUAA